UACGUAGGCAGCAAACGUUGUUCGGAGUUACUGGGCGUAAAGAGUACGUAGGCGGUUUGCCAAGUUUGGUGUGAAAUCUCCUGGCUUAACUGGGAGGGUGCGCCGAAUACUGGCGGGCUUGAGUAUUGGAGAGGAAAGCGGAAUUCCUGGUGUAGCGGUGAAAUGCGUAGAUAUCAGGAGGAACACCGGUGGUGUAGACGGCUUUCUGGACCGUAACUGACGCUGAGACACGAAAGCGUGGGUAGCAAACAGG
rnacentral:rRNA from 1 species